UACGGGGGGAGCAAGCGUUGUUCGGAUUUACUGGGCGUAAAGGGCGCGUAGGCGGCCAGCACAAGUCGGUUGUGAAAUCUCCGGGCUUAACUCGGAAAGGUCAACCGAUACUGUGCGGCUAGAGUGCGGAAGGGGCAACUGGAAUUCUCGGUGUAGCGGUGAAAUGCGUAGAUAUCAGGAGGAACACCGGUGGCGAAGGCGGAUCUCUGGGCCUGUUCUGACGCUGAGGCGCGAAAGCUAGGGGAGCGAACAGG
rnacentral:rRNA from 1 species